UACAGAGGUGGCAAGCGUUGUUCGGAAUUACUGGGCGUAAAGGGCGCGUAGGCGGCUUGACAAGUCACUUGUGAAAUCUCCGGGCUUAACUCGGAACGGCCAAGUGAAACUGUCAUGCUAGAGUGCAGAAGGGGCAAUCGGAAUUCUUGGUGUAGCGGUGAAAUGCGUAGAUAUCAAGAGGAACACCUGAGGUGAAGACGGGUUGCUGGGCUGACACUGACGCUGAGGCGCGAAAGCCAGGGGAGCAAACGGG
rnacentral:rRNA from 1 species